CCUACGGGGGGCAGCAGUGAGGAAUAUUGGUCAAUGGCCGAAAGCCUGAACCAGCCAAGCCGCGUGAAGGAUGAAGGAGCUAUGGUUUGUAAACUUCUUUUAUAAGGGAAUAAAAUGAGGCCCGAGUUCCUUUUCGUGUGUACUUUAUGAAUAAGCAUCGGCUAACUCCGUGCCAGCAGCCGCGGUAAUACGGAGGAUGCGAGCUUUAUCCGGAUUUAUUGGGUUUAAAGGGUGCGUAGGGGGGUAAUUAAGUCAGCGGUGAAAGUUUGGGGCUCAACCAUAAGAGAGCCGUUGAUACUGGCUGUCUUGAGAAGACGUGAGGUAUGCGGAAUGCGCGGUGUAGCGGUGAAAUGCUUAGAUAUUGCGAAGAACUCCGAUUGCGAAGGCAGCAUACUAACGUAGAUCUGACACUGAGGCACGAAAGCGUGGGUAUCGAACAGGAUUAGAUACCCCUGUAGUC
rnacentral:rRNA from 1 species